rnacentral:sRNA from 1 species
GUUUCAAUUCCUCAUAGGCAGGCUAUCGGCGGGGUUAUGAAUCUGGGGAGGGACUGUUAACAUGGG